UACGAAGGGGGCUAGCGUUGCUCGGAAUUACUGGGCGUAAAGCGUGCGCAGGCGGUUUUGUAAGUCAGAUGUGAAAUCCCCGGGCUUAACCUGGGAACUGCGUUUGAAACUACAAGGCUAGAGUGUGGCAGAGGGGGUGGAAUUCCACGUGUAGCAGUGAAAUGCGUAGAGAUGUGGAGGAACACCGAUGGCGAAGGCAGCCCCCUGGGUUAACACUGACGCUCAGGCACGAAAGCGUGGGGAGCAAACAGG
rnacentral:rRNA from 1 species